CUCAACCAAGUUUAUAGGUAUCCCAACCAUGGUCCAUGGAUAUGUGGCCCAAAAAAGAAAAAAUUAUUGUCCAUGGAUGAAUAAUAAUGUGAGUGACCUGCCCUGCAAACAAUAUUACCGAACUUCCUGCCUUCAUUAGUUCCCAAAAUUGCAGAUAAUCUGCCACUCCAGAUCCAUUAAACACGUUCAAAGAAACUGAUAGACGUCGAUCCACGUAAAAUUAGUAAAGCAGUAAAGAUCAAAAAUCAAAUGGAGACAUGUACCAGAUAUGAUGUAUCUGCAAAAUUCUGUUUUGUCUUUGGAUGUCUUGUCAGUUGCUGUGUCCACCAUGUUUUUUCUCUUUCUAUAACAGUAGCGGAGUUCGAAUGUGUGUCCGAGCUCGUUGUCUCUGAAGGGGAUACAAUUUCUGGGAACUUUGUCGUCACGGAUCAUGAGAUUUUCUGGAACUCUGAGCAUCCUGGAAUCGAAUUCACCGUGAGCUCUACUUGCAUUGUCUGCAUUCUUUUUUUCUUUUUCUCUUCCAAAUUACAUUUAGGGUGAUUAUGGUUUGGCACGCCGGAUUUGCUCGAAAUACACUUGAAAAAUGGAAACCAUGAUUAAGAGAUGCAGAGAAUAUUGUCAAAUACGUCAGGAUAUAACGCAAUCCGAGUCCCAUAAUAGUUUGAUUCUGAAACAACAAAACCUUUAGCCUAGCCCAAUUGGGAAGUUUAUCUCAUUCUUCCCUCCAUUAAGGUAAAGGACAAAUGUGAGCCCUGCAUCUGCAAAAACCGAAGAACUUUCUCUUUUAAAAUAAUUCUGAGGGCUUUUGAGGCAGGUGACUUCUCCAGGAGGUAAGCUUGUGUACUUUCUGAAAGGAACAUCGGGGGAUAAGUUCGAGUUCAAAGCCCCAAGACGCGGAAUUUACAAAUUUUGUUUUCAUAAUCCUCUUACCACUCCAGAAACCGUCGCCUUCUACCUUCAUGUUGGCCACAUCCCGGAAACAAAUGACGUCGCCAUAAAUGAACAUUUUCAUCCUACACAUGUUAAGAUUGCUGAACUGAGAGAGGUGUUGGAGUCUGUUACAGCCGAGCAGAAGUAUUUGAAAGCACGCGAUGCUCGCCAUCGAUACAGCGUCUCGUUAGAUUUCAAUAGUUUAUUACUUUUGGGACAAAAAAAGAACGACCUUACCUUUGAUUGUUGGUGACUGCAGCAAGUGAGAGCACCAGGAAACGUGUAGUCUUCUACACUCUUGUCGAAUACUUUGCUUUGGCUGCUUCAAGCGUGCUUCAGAUUGUGUACAUUCGCCGUUUGUUCAGCUCCUCCCCUGCUUACAACAGAGUCUAACUUUUUUUUUUUUUUUAUUUCAACAUUUUAUUGUAUAAUUUCUUCUGAUGGCUCUGCUAUCAUCACUGAACUCCUUAAGCGCUUGUUGAAUUAAUGAAUUCGGUGGUUCAAGUCGGAAACUGUCUGCCAUAAACCCAUCACUGAAAAUUUUACACUCUUAGCCAAGAAAAUGAGAUUAUUAUUCGUUAAGGGAGUAUAAUUCUAGUUCAACUACCUCGAGAUCACCCAAUAUUGUCACGAAGAAAAAGAAAGUGGGAUGAUUA